CAAAGCACGUUUCCAAAAAGCCGCGCUCUCGCGCACACACUCCCACCCCCUUUUGUUUCGGGGGUCGACAGGCCGCUCUCCUUCCCAAGUCUGAAUACCUCACGUGGGGCGGAGGGCCGCCGAGUCUCGGCUGGGAAGAUGCCCUUGGAGCUGACUCAGAGCCGGGUGCAGAAGAUCUGGAUCCCGGUCGACCACCGCCCCUCGCUGCCCAGAUCCUGUGGGCCCAAGCUCACCAACUCCCCGACGGUGAUCGUCAUGGUGGGGCUGCCCGCCCGGGGUAAGACCUACAUUUCCAAGAAGCUGACCCGCUACCUCAACUGGAUUGGUGUCCCCACGAAAGUGUUCAACGUCGGGGAGUACCGCCGGGAGGCCGUCAAGCAGUUCAGCUCCUACAACUUCUUCCGCCCCGACAACGAGGAGGCCAUGAGGGUCCGAAAGCAGUGUGCACUAGCUGCCCUGAGAGACGUCAAAAGUUACCUGACGAAGGAAAGGGGCCAGAUUGCAGUUUUCGAUGCUACCAAUACUACUAGAGAGAGGAGACAUAUGAUCCUUCAUUUUGCCAAAGAAAAUGAUUUCAAGGUGUUUUUCAUCGAGUCUGUGUGCGAUGACCCCACGGUUGUAGCCUCAAACAUCAUGGAAGUGAAAAUCUCCAGCCCGGAUUACAAAGAUUGCAACUCAGCAGAAGCCAUGGACGACUUCAUGAAGAGAAUUAAUUGCUAUGAAGCCAGCUACCAGCCCCUCGACCCCGAUAAAUGUGACAGGGACCUGUCCCUGAUCAAGGUGAUCGACGUGGGCCGGCGGUUCCUGGUGAACAGGGUUCAGGACCACAUCCAGAGCCGGAUCGUCUACUACCUAAUGAACAUCCACGUGCAGCCCCGCACCAUCUACCUGUGUCGGCACGGCGAGAGCGAGCACAACCUCCAGGGGAGGAUAGGAGGGGACUCCGGCCUGUCCAGCAGGGGCAGGAAGUUCGCCAACGCCCUGAGCACGUUUGUGGAGGAGCAGAACCUGAAGGACCUCAGGGUGUGGACCAGCCAGCUGAAGAGCACCAUCCAGACGGCGGAGGCCUUGCAGCUGCCCUACGAGCAGUGGAAGGCGCUCAAUGAGAUCGACGCUGGUGUCUGUGAGGAGAUGACCUACGAGGAGAUCCGGGACACCUACCCCGAGGAGUACGCGCUGCGCGAGCAGGACAAGUACUACUACCGUUACCCGACCGGGGAGUCCUACCAGGACCUGGUCCAGCGCCUGGAGCCAGUGAUCAUGGAGCUGGAGCGGCAGGAGAACGUUCUGGUCAUCUGCCACCAGGCCGUCCUGCGCUGCCUCCUGGCCUACUUCCUGGAUAAGAGCGCAGAGGAGAUGCCUUACCUGAAAUGCCCCCUUCAUGCCGUCCUGAAGCUGACGCCUGUCGCUUACGGCUGCCGUGUCGAAUCCAUCUACCUGAAUGUGGAGUCAGUGAGCACGCACCGGGAGAGGUCAGAGGAUGCAAAGAAGGGACCUAACCCGCUCAUGAGACGCAAUAGUGUCACCCCACUAGCCAGCCCCGAGCCCACCAAAAAGCCUCGUAUCAACAGCUUUGAGGAGCAUGUGGCCUCCACCUCCGCUGCCCUGCCCAACUGCCUGCCCCCGGAGGUGCCCACGCAGCUGCCCGGACAAACUUGGUGAUGGCGACCGGAUCUGAAGGAAACUUCUGGCAGCUCUGCGGACCACAGGAGACACAGACGCUCGAGCUGCACGCUCUGCUUUAACCCCUGCUCGGAGCCUGCGGACGGGGCCCGGGGAAGCUGGCAGAGGUCGGCCAGGGCGAGGAUCCUCACCGGAGCCAGCUUCCUGACACGGCAGGAAAACACGACUUUCGCUCCCUCCCUGGGGAUGCCUCUCAAGUCCAAGAGGUGGUUCACUGCUGCAUGGAGCACUUGCUGUCUGUCCCAGCGGAGGCCUGGCAAAAUGUUUACAAGGAUUUUUUUUUUUUAAAGUAGCUCAGUGUUUAAAAGUUGGUCAGAAAUAAGAGGCUGCUACUCAGAGCCUCACAGGAAUUUUUUCAGGCCUCUCCCCCUAAGCCAAAAUAAAACUGUGCGCACCUCGGAGAGAAAGAAAAAAGCUUCUAAAGCCCUUGUGAGAGGAUUGACUAAAACAGUCCAAAGGCAAACAGCUCUAAAUCCAGAACAUAGAAAUCUUUUCAUUUCUAUCUUAGCUAGAAAUCUUCCUGAUAUAAAAGAAAAAAAGCAAAUUACGGACAAUCGCGUUGAAUGGGAUGGGCUAACCUAUGAUGUCAUUUAGACGUUGGAACCCAGUUCUCUGGGGACUUGAGAGCCACUGUCGUUAUCUUACAAAUCUUUGCAAAACUAGAAAUGCAGCUCGAGGGGCAGUUCAAAAUCCAACUGUUCCUUUUACCAACCCCGCAACCUCCCCUGUUUAUCUCAAAAGGCAAGUGUGUAUUCUGAAGGUCCGUGGGAGCGAUUUUAAACUGAAAGUUAUAAGGUCUGUGUUUGCAUCUGUAUUUUUGUGUGUGUUGCUGUAUAUGCGUUAUUCUAUGCAUGGUGUUUUCCAUCUCUAGAUGGUAUUACAAUUAAUUUGUAAAAGAGCUCGAUUUAAUUGGGUUGAGGAGAAUUAAGCAUUAAUAUGAAUUAAGGAUUCCUAAAACCCUCAGAAAUACACGGGCGUACCUCGGUGAUACUGUGGGUUCAGUUUCAGACCGCUGCAGUAAAGCUAAUGUCACAAUAAGGUGCAUCACACUGGUUUUCUAGUGCAUGCAAAGGUUAUGUUUACAUUAUGAUGUGGUUUCCCAGUGCAUGUAAAGGUUACGCUUGCAUUAUGAUGUGGUCUAUGAAGUGUGCAAUAGCCUUUUGUCUAAAAAAAAAAAAAACCUAUGUAUCUUAAUUUAAAAUACUUGAUUGCUAAAAAAUGCUAACCAUCAUGUAAACCUUCAGCAAGUUGCACAAUCUUUUUGCUGGUGGAAGGUCUUGCCAGGAUGUUGGUGGCUGCUGACUGAUCAGGGUGGUGGCUGCUGAACGUGGGUGUGGCUAUGAUAAUUUAUAAAAAUAAGACAACAGUGAGGUUUGCUCCUUUGACUAACUUCCUUUCACAAACAAUUUCUCUGGAGCGUGCAAGGCUGUUUGAUGGCAUUUUACCCACAGUAGAACUUCUUUCAGAACUGAAGCCAGUCUUCUCAAACCCUGCCACUGCUUUGUCGACUAAGUUUAGGUACUAAGUCUUCUGUUGUCAUUUCAACAAGUCUUCACAGCAUCCUCACAAGAAGUAGAUUCUGAAUCAAGAAACCCCUUUCCUUGCUCAUCCAUAGAAGCAGCUCCUCAUCCGUUCACGUUCUAUGACGAGUUUGCAGCGAUUCAGUCACAUCUUCAGGCUCCACUUGCAGUUCUAGGUCUCUUGCUGUUUCCACCACAUCUGCAGUGACUUCCUCCACUGAAGUCCUGAAUGUCUAAGUCAUCCAUGAGGGUUGGAAUCAACUUCUUCCAAACUCCUGUGGAUGCUGAUACUCUGACCUCUUCCCAAGAAUCACAAAUGUUCUGCAUGGCAUCUAGAAUGGUGAGUCCUUUCCAGAAGGUUUGCAAUUUAGUUGGCCCCGAUUCAUCAGAGGAAUCACUGUCUAGGGCAGCCUGAGCCGCACAAAACGCAUUUCUUAAAUAAUAAAGCCUGCAAGUUGAAAUGACUCCUUGAUCCAUGGGCUGCAGGGUGGAUGUUGUGUUAACAUGAACACAACAACAAUCUCACUGCACAUCUCCAACAGAGCUCUUGGGGGACCAGGUGCGUUGUCAAUGAUCAGUAUUUUUUCUGAGCAGUAGGCUCACAAUUGGGUUUAAAAUACUCUGUAAAGCAUGUUGUAAACAGAUGUGCUGUCACCCAGGCUUUGCUGUUCAAUUCAUAGAGCACAGGCCGAGUAGAUCCAGCACAAUUCUUAAGGGCCCUGGGAUUUUCAAAACGGUAAAUGAGCACUGGCUUCAGUUUAAAGUCACCAGCUGCAUUAGCCCCUAUCAAGAGGCCAGUCCUUUGAAGCCAGGCGCUGACUUCUCCUCUCUAGCUAUGAAGGUCCUACAUGGCAUCUUCUUCCAAUAUAAGGCUCUAUAAUCCACACUGAAAAUCUGUCGUUGAUGUGGCCGUCUUCAUUGGUUAUCUUAGCCAGAUCUUGCUAAGAUAAGUUGCCGCUUCACCUUGCACUUGGAUAUUAUGGAGAUGGUGUCUUUCCUUAAACCUCAUGAACCAACCUCCGCUAGCUUCAUACUUCUCUUCCGCUUCCUCAACUCUCUCAGCCUCCUUAGGGUUAAGGAGAGGUAAGGCCUUGCUCUGGAUGAGGCCCUGGGGAUGCUGUGGUCUCCAUUAUCAGCAAUAAGGCUCUUUUGCUUUCUCACUAUUCAUCUGUUCACGGUAGCAGCACCUUUAAUUUCCUCCGAGAACUUCUCCUUAGCGCUCACACCUUGGCUAAUGGUUGGUGCGAGAGGCCUCGCUUUUGACUUCAAGUCAGAGAUGUGGGGGCUCUUCCUUUCACGGAACACUUAGAGGCUGUUGUAGGGUCAUCAAUUAGCCUACUUUCAAUAUUGUCAUGUCUCAGGGGAUAAGGAGGCCCGAGGAGAGAGACGGGGGAAUGGACAGUCAGAAUACACGCGUUUGUCAAUUAAGUUUGUCGUCUUAUAUGGGCGUGGUUCAUGGUGCCCCAAAACAAUUACAAUAGUAACAUCAGUUAUCACAGAUCACCAUAACAAAUAUAAUAAUGAAAAGGUUUGAAAUAUGGCGAGAAUUAACAAAAUGUGACAGAGACAUGGAGUGAGAAAAUGCCGCUGGAAAAAUGGCACCAAGAGAUUUGCUCAGUGCAGGGUGGCCACAAACCUUUAAUUUGUUUAAAAAAAGAAAAAUGCAGUAUCUCGCGAAGCACAAUAAAAUGAGGUCGGCCUGCAACAGAAACGAAGCCAAACGCUUCUCAAGUUCAGAAGAUCUGAGAUAACCUUUGGUAAGUAACAGCUAAUUGAUGUUUGUUGCAAGUAUGUCUUCAGAAUGAUCAGUAUCAAAAAUACUGCGGAUGUACAACUUCAUUCUGCUUGGUUUAUUGGUCAAGUAAAUCCAUGUUAGCUCCGUUACAAAGGUUUUCAGCAAGAAAAAUAGCCCGGGAUGGUGUCUGGCCUCGUCUAAUGUCUCAUGACAUUUUUGCAGGUGUCUAAAACAUGAUUAUUGAGGACAAAUGAUUUAAACUGAUGUAAAUGGGAACAAAAGGUUUUAGAUAAACUUCUAAAGAGGAACUAAAUAUAUUUGGGUCUAUUAGAAAAUAUUUUUAAAAUUGUUUCCUCUGAACUUUUUGGUGUCCUGAAAUCUUAGUUUUGCUAAGUUAAAGGAUGGCUAGUCAUUGAAUGUCUAGAUCAUUUCCAAAUAAGAUAAAGUACUGAAAACCUAGUUACUGAACAGAGCUCCAUCUACUUUUGGCUUCCUUUUACAGAGGAACCAAAUAUAUUUGGGUCUAUUAGAAAAUAUUUUUUUGUGACGUACUGAAACUCUUACUAUGAGAAAGCAUAUGUUCAAGAAAUUUUUAAAAGUAUAAAAUGCAUCAAGCCAUAGGAUGCUAAUAUAAAAAGACAGUUUACAAUUGUUCAUUUUCACUAAAAUUAAGGGUUUUUUUAAAAAGGGUUAAUUAAACAUGCUUAUAUAUAUAAUUAAAGCUAUUAGAAAUGAUAAGGACAACAUCUCUGCACGCAGGGAAAGUAGGGGGUGUGGUUUUGGCAAAAGAAGUUAUGAGGAAUGGAGAUGCAUUUUUAUCGAGAAAAAAGAAAGGAAUUUCGUCUUUAAGUGAGACUGGUUAUUUCAGAACGGUAAAAAGGGAAAACACAGGACAAAAUCGAGGAAAGUUUGUGGGGAAAACAAUCUUGGGAACUGAAUUUUAUGCCCGGGCAAGCUGGCUAAGAUUGGAAUGAAUUUAAGUGAAAAAAAAAUUUUACUCAAAAUUAGAAUUGGUUUUCUCUAUGUUAAAAGUUUUUUUUUUGAUUUUUGGUCUACUUCUGAUAAGAGAUUAUGAAAGGUUUUUCCAAAAUAACCUCCUAUGAUUUGGAUUAUCUUUAUCGGAUCUUUGAUUAAACUGAGCCUUCUCUAUUAAGAGAGUUCUUUUGAACAAUUAUUUAACUUUCUAUAUUUACCUGUGAAGUCUUCAAUCGAUCACCUUGGUUAACUGAGUAACUACUACUUCACAGUGACCUAAUGUUCCUAUUUGAUCAAGUGUUUUUAAACCUUUUGAUUUUUUAAUUGAAUAACAGUUGAUAACCUUUUUAUGUUUUUAAUAAACCUCCCCCAAAUCAAAUUCUAAAUGAAGCCUUUUUGACUGUGAACAAACUUUAAGAUUUUCCAGAGGGUCCCUGGAACAUUUCAAAAGAUUUGUUUUCUCUCCUUAUAAAAUGAAAGAUGUUAAGCUAAUUUGGGUUACUUGACGUGUAAAUGUCAUGGAAAGCACUGUCAACACCAAGCCUCUUUUAUGUUGUAUUUGUACAGAAAAUCGUGUUCUCAACAUUGAUGUGUCCUGGUAUCAUGUAAUCAGUCAGAAUCCGGCUGUUACCUUAAAAUGUACAUCAGAGCAAUAACUACAGUUCCUUAUCAAAUGAACUCUCAUCAGGUCUUCAGCCACGGGCAUCUUAAGUCUUUGUCAUUUACCAAGAGUUACUGUCUUGCUUAGAGGCUUUUGCAAAAGUGUUUCUUCAAAAGGGCUUCAUCUCUGAGGAGAUUCAUGGAAGGGGCUUUGGCAAACACAGGUUUAUGAUAACUUUAAACUCGUAAAACUGACCUGGGUAAAAAUUUCCAGAUCUAAUGGAAAAAAACUGGAUUUAAGCAGAAUAAGCAUUAGUAACACAGGAAUGAACUGAUGAGGACGAUGAUUACAAUUUUUACGAUCUUCUGUUUGAAACAUUGCUGGCACUUCAGUGUGUUUCCCUUUCCAGAUUUGAGAUUUCUCUUGAGCUGUCAUGAUUGGCAACAAUUUGGUAAAGUCUACCUCUGUAAACAAGGGUAAACGUUUACUUUUUUUCUUUAUCUGAUUUCUCCAGAGACUCUUGAGUACUCCCUUUAUGGCAAAACAGUUAUUUACAUAAGGUCAGUGAGCAUCUGCUCUCCUGGGAACAGAACUCAGUUGCCUGUAUUCGCCAUAUUACCAAGGCUUUGACUGGAAUUUCACGUGUGAGAGAUGUGGGCGUAGACUCAGAUGUGACCAGACUAAGCUUUAAAGAACUAAGACUGACUUUACGGAGCCAAUCAAGUCCCUUGGAAAAACUGAACUCUCACUCUGGUACCAAGGCUCCCAGGGCCUUACCAGGUGAGUGUGAAAGGUGACUUCCUGGCAGGCCCGGGAACCUCAGGACGCGUUUCGGACCUCAAGAGAGGAAUUCAUCCAAACGUACAGUAUUGAAGGGAAAAUCUGAUUCCAAGGGUUUGGCUUGGCUUCCUGUCCUCAGACUUUAGAGUUCAACAUGACAUUCUUUACAGCGAGCAGUCUUUAAAUGUGCUUACAUGGUCACUCACUAUUCUUUCUGCACUUAUGUAAUUAACCAGGCCCAGUUUAAUGCAAAUUCGUUUUACUGAGAUUAUCUUUGAUAAAAUAAAUGCAAGUGAUUGUAGAGAAAAAAAAAAUGAUGCCUGCACCUCUGUAGAUACUAGAUUCGAAUCCCGUUAAUCGUUUUUGAGGUUUUGUUACAUAGCUGUAAACUGGACUGGAUCUUGACUGCUUCCGGUUUGCUCAGUUAACUAGCAAUGACUCUGCAAACCGACAUUUCCAGUUUCCUCCCACCCUUCUGAUUUGGAACCACUAAGAACAAAGACUGCCCUUGGGUCUCUCUGGAAGGGACUAAGCCAGAUUUUCCUCCCUAACCAGAUGGCAGCCAAGCCACAGGGACUGGGAUCCUGGGUGUACAGCUCACAGCUGAAGGCAUCCCCCCCGACCUCUGGUCUGUGGACACCGCCGAGGGCCUCGAGAGCAAACUGACCGAGAAAAGCAGCAGCCUGCCAUCUCACUUUAAGUGAACAUUUAGUUACCCACGAGAUGACAUGUCACUAAGACACUUCCGUGGUGUGGGUGCGUAGGAAGCACUAUCUGGACAAAGAAGUAGGGUAAGGAUGAAUACUCUUCCCCGUUUCCAGCUGGGAAGGUUCACCUUUCUUAGCUUCCGUUUUCCCAUAGGUAAAAUUGAACAAAAAUAGCUACUUCACUGGGAUUAACAAAAUCAGAUAUACUUAAAGUUCCUAGGAAACUAUCUGGCACAAGAUAGGCUCCCCAAAAAGGUAGUUUUAAUUAUAUUUUUCUUUAAAGUAUGUUGGAGCAGAGAUGGCUGGUUGCCUAUCUUUCUUUCUUAGUAAAAAAAAAUUUAUUCUGGAUGACAAUGUGCCCAUCUGAAAGAUUCAAUGUUCUAGCUUUCCUUACAGCUACAGAAGAGUCAGACAGAUGUAAGCCAAAGUUUUUUGUGGGCCUUAUGGAGAAGUGGUUUAAUGAAGAAGAGUUAUUCUCUCUUCCUCCUGCUUCCUGAAUAGAUUGUGGCUAUGAGGGCUGGACUCCAGCAGCCAUGCUGGGCUGUGGAGUACCUUUGAAGAUGGAAACCUAGUGCAGUAGAUGAUGGAACGGGGCAGAUGGUUCCUGGAUCUCUGACAUCAUAGAACUAUCAUACUUGCUUUGAACCAUACAUGUGUUACUCCGUUUAUAUGAAGAGAGAAACACUUCCAUCACAUUUAAGUCAUUAUUAUUUUGUGUCCUGUUACUAGCAGCCAAUGCAAUUUCUAAUCAACAUACACAUUAUUUCACAUUUAUUCAAUUCUGAAAUUGGGAGAUGGCUUCUAGUAUAUAGUUUUAAAAUAAUUUUGUCUAUCAAGAAAAUAAGGCAUCUAAUUAUUAAUGGUGUCUUAAAGGAAACAGAUUAUUCUUCCAAGUUAGGACUUCUUUUUCCUAUUUACUACUUAGAGAACGCUUUCCUUUUCCUACGUAAUUCUAAUUUAAUCACCAGUUUUAGAGUCUUAUGAACAGUAGGUCCCCAAGAGAUGUUUGUUGAAUUAAUUUAAUAGCAACCUUCUAAAGAAAGUAGUUUGUGAAAUGUGCUUUCAAGGUUUUAUGAUUAAUUUAUUUUUAAAAGAUUUUAAUUUACUUGUUAGCAAAGUUAAAAGAUUCCACCCAAGGACCCACCGAUCUACACAUGAAACAAUUUCUCCUGAAAAGCUGAUGGAACAGCUUCUGCACGAGAAAUGACAGACCAUGUAGAGCUGAAUAAGAGGUAUGGAGACCCUGCAUCAACAGGAACUACCCGUGACACAGUGAUUUAAAGGGCACUUAGACUACGUGUGAAGGAAUCCACUUACUAACCCCUAGAGCAUCUGCCAAACACAUGGGGAACUGCUGGGACUCACGCCAGGGUUGGAGUUUUUGAGGACUGUAAUUUUUUGUAUCCCCUCCACCUUAAUAGAUGGCUAGGAACAAAGUCCAGACACUCUAUAGCCAGCCUGCCAAGGCUGCCACAGCAUGCCCCACGUCCAACCAGCAUGGCCACGGGACACCCUAGCUCCAGCCUUUCUGUGAAGGCAGCCCCAGCAUGCUCCAGACCCCCACAGCCAGCCAGUCUGCCAAAAACCCCAGAAAAACUGCUAAUGAAAUAGAGAAAAGUUAGUUACCUGAUUUAAGAGUUCAAAGUAAUGGUCAUAAAGAUGCUCACUGAACUCAGGAGAAGAAUGAACACAGGGAAAACUUCAACAAAGAGUUAGAGCAAAUCAAAACUGAAUAAUAUGAUAACAAAUGAAAAAUACACUACAGGGAAUUAAAAGCAAAUUAAACGAUACAGAAGAAUGGGUCAGCAAUCUGGAAGACAGAAUAGUGGGAAUCACCCAACCAGAACAGCAAAAAGAAAAAAUAAAUAGAGGCUAGCUUAAGUUACCUCUGGGGGACAACAUCAAGCCUACUGACAUUCACAUUUUAGGGGUCCCAGGAGGAGGAGAGAGAAAGGGGCUAAAACCUUCCCUGACUUGGGGAUGGAAACAGAUAUCCAGGUCCAGGAAGCACAGAGUCCCAAACAAGAUGAACCCAAAGAGAUCUGCAUCAGGACACACUAUAAUUAAAAUGGCAAAAAUUAAAGGUAAGAAUAUUAAAAACAGCAAAGGGAAAAGCAAAUAGUCACAAAUAAAGAAACUUCAUCAGAAACUUUUGCCAGAAGGCAGUGGCAUGAUAUAUUUAAAGUGCUGAAAGGAGAAAACGUACACCAAGAAUACUCUACCUGGUAAGGUUAUUCUUCAGAGUUGAAGGAGAGAUCAAGAAUUUCCCAAACAACAAAAACUAAAGGAGUUCAUCACAGCUAAACUGGCCUUACAAGAAACGUUAAAGGGUCUUCUUUAAGUGAAAAGGCAAGGCCAUACCUAGAAAUAUGAAAAAAAAAAUCUCACUGGCAAAGGCAAAUAUAUAGUAAAGGCAUAGGACAGCCACUUAAAAAGCUAGUAUGAAGGUUAAAAGAAAAAAAGUAAAAUGAACUAUAACUACAAAAUAAAAAUAUGUAAAAUAUAAUGUCAAAACACACUGGGGAGGGGAGUACAAAUGUAGCUUUGAGAAUGCUUUUGAGCAUUCAAGCUUAAGUGACUUUGAACUUAAAAUAAACUGACAUAUAAAUAUAUGUUGUUGAGACACAUGGAGCUCAUGGGUAACCAAAAACCUAUGAUGCACAAAAAAUGAAGAGAAAGGAACACAAGUGUAACAUUAGAGUCACUGAUCAAACCACAUGGGAAGAGACAAAGGAACUAGAGGACCUACAAAAAGAGCCAGAAAGCAGUUAAAAUGGCCGUAAGUACAUACCUAGCAAUAAUCACUUUAAAUCAAUGCUCCAAUCAAGAGACACAGGGUGGCUGGAUGGAUAAAAAAAAAAACAAGACCCCUCUACAUGCUGCCUCCAAGAGGCUCACUUUAGAUCUAAAGACAGACUGAAAGUGAAGGGACAGAAAAGGAUAUUCCAUGUAAAUGGAAAUGAAAAGCUGGGGUAGCAAUAUUCAUUUCCAACAAAAUAGACUUUAAUACUGUAACAAGUGACAAAGAAGGGUAUUACAUAAUAAUAAAGGGCUCAAUCCAAGAAGAGGAUUUAAUAUCCAUAAAUAUCUAUGCACUCAACAUAGAAGCCCAAACAUAUGUAAAGCAAGCAUUACCAGGCACAAAGGGAGAAACUGAGAGUAAUGCAGUAACAGUAGGGGACUUUAACUUCCCACUGUCAGCAAUGCAUAGAUUAGCCAAACAGAAAAAUCAACAAGGAAAAGCUGGCCUUAAAUGACACAUUAAACCAUAAAGAUAUACAGAACAUUCCAUUCAAAAAUGGAAUACAGAUUCUUUUUGUACAUUUUCCAGGUAAAUCAUGUUAGGGCACCAGAAAAUUUAGACUGAAAUCAUAUCAAGCAUCUUCUCUGACCACAAUGGUAUGAAACUUUCCAAAAUCUAUAGGAUGCAGUUCUAAUAGGAAAGUUCAUGCCUACCUCAAGAAAUAAGAAAUAUCUCAACCAAAUUUUAUACCUAAAGGAACUAGAAAAAGAGGAAACAAAGCCCCAAGUUAGUAGAAGGAAGGAAAUAAUUAAGAUCAGGGUGGAAAUAAGUAAACUAGAGACAAAAAUAACAGUAGAAAAGAUAACUGAGACUUAAGGGGUGGUUCUUUGAAGAGAUAAACAAAACUGAUAAGCUUUUAGCCACUUUCAUCAAGAAAAUAGAUGGCUCAGAUAAAUACAAUCAGAAAUAAAAGGGAAGUUACAGCUGACACCACAGGAAUACAAAGAAUCAUGAGACAACCUCAAAGAAAUGGAUAAAUUCCUAGUAAUAUUCAAUCUUCCAAGACUGAAUCAGGAAGAAAUAGAAAAUCUGAACAAACCCAUUACCAGAAGUGAAACUGAAUCAGUAAUAAAAUAAAACUUCCAAUAAACAAAAGUCCAGAACUAGACUGCAUCCCAAAGGAAUUCUACCUAACAUAUAAAAAAAAAGUAAUGAAAAGUAAGGAAUGCUUCUAGACUCAUUCAACAAGGCCAGCAUUACCAUGAUGUCAAAACCAAAGACACCACACAAAAAAAGAAAAUUACAGGCCAGUACCUCAGAUGAAUAUAGAGGUAAAAAUCCUCAACAAAACAUAAGCAAACCAAAUUCUUUCAAUAUAUUGUUCAAACACCACGAUCAAGUGGGAUUUAUCACAGGGAUGCAAAGAUGGUUCAAUAUCAGCAAAUAAAUCAGUAUAAUACACCAUGUUAACAAAACGAAGGAUACAGAUGAUACAAAGCAUUUGACAAAAUUCAAUAUCCAUUCAUGAUAAAAACUCUCAUCAAAGUGGGCACAGAGGGAAUGUACCUGAACAUAAUAAAAGCCGUGUGUGACAAACCCACAGCUGGCAUCAUAUUCCACGGUGAAAAGCUGAAAGACCUUUUCUUCUAAGAUCAGGAACAAGCCAAGGACGCUCACUCUCAUCACUUUUACUCAACAUAGCAUUGGAGGUCCUAGCCAUAGCAAUCAGACAAGAAAAGGAAAUAAAAGGUAUCCAAAUUGGAAAGGAAGAGAAACUGACUAUUUGCAGAUGACAUGAUACUACGAUCCACAGAAAACCUUAAAGACACCACGAAAAAACUAUGAGAGCUAGUAAAUUCAAUAAAGUUUCAGGAUAGGAAAUGAAAAUACAGGAAUCUGUUCCAUUUCUAUACACUAAUAAUGAACUAUCAGAAAGAGAGACCAUGAAAACAAUCCCAUUUGCAACUGCAUCAGAAAAUGAAAUACCCAGAAAUAAAUCUAACCAAAGAGGUGGAAGACCUGUACUCUGAAAACUAAAAGACACUGACAGAGGAGAUUAAAGAGGACACGAAGAAGUGGAAAGACAUCCCAUGUUCAUGGAUUUGAAGAAUUAAUAUUGUUAAAAUGUCCAUACUGCUGAAAAUAGCCCACAGAUUUAAUGCAACCCCUAUCACAAUACCCAUUUUUCACAGAACUAGAACAAAUUAUCCUGAAGUUUGCAUGCAACCACAAAAGACCCUGAAUAGCCAAAGCAAUCUUUGUUUUGUCAAGCAAGUCCCACACUGCUUAAAUCCUCGUUGUUAUAUAAAUUAAACCAAAUUGCAAAAAGUAAGCAAGCAGAUAAAAGAAUCCAUAAAUAGGGCCCUUUCCCAACUGACUAAGUUAGAGAAUUACUCGGAGUGAAUCAUCAUUCAUGUCAGUGGCUGCUUUUUACACUCACCAGUGGUAUUUGCUUACAUACAAGGUCUGAAUGAGAAAUCAGGGCAUCUCAAAACAACUCAGCGUCCUUCAGAAAGUGUAAUGCAAGCUUUGCCUCCCCACCAUCUCUUAUUUCUAAAAGGACUCAAUUCUUUGAAAUCUAAGGAGUGAGACAGUCAUUUUAGAUUUGAUGUGUGGAUUCUCUGCCACGUGUUCUCACUCAUCUGCUUCUCUGGUUUUGGUAAAGCGUUACAGAGGCUUGGGACCUUAAGAGCAUUUCCUGUAACAGGAACAAAGCAAACACUGCCUGAGAUGGUAACUGACAAGCAGAGGCGGAAAUAUCCCCGUUUUCUGCAAAGCGGGAUUCAGAACAGCCUUCCCCGUAAAAUGCAAACAUACAAACAAACAUACAAAAACCGUGGGAAAAGAUGCCAAGUGAAGCCGGAUUAUAUAAUGCCUCCUAGAAGCCUGGUCUGAAGUGUAUUUAGCCUUCUGACAAAAGCCUCGCAAUAUUUCAAGAGGAAAAGUGGACAGCAGGUCUAGAGCGCAGAGCAGGAGAGCGGGGCCGAGUUCCUUACUUUGCCGUUUGGUGACGUACCUGCACCAUCCCAGAGCAACAGAGACUUUUAAUCUCCAGGAGGAAAUUUCUAGCAGGGAAUUUCUCGAACCCUCGUUAUCAGAAAUUCCAAACUCCUUCCUGCUUCAGAACAUAAGCCUACUUUCUCUUAAACAGCUUCUCCUAAUCCUUCUACUCCUUAAUGCCUCCUGGUUGCAGCCCCUCCACCCCUCUUGCCCAAGACCCUUUCUGCCUAUUCAAAUUCUAAUUUCUAGUUUUUCUCAGCUCUGGUGCUUAGAGCCUACAUUCCUCAGUUUAACAUUACUCACCACCUUUAGAAGGAUCAUUCUUGCCUCUUUUAUCAGAGUAUGAAAUUCUCCAGGUUAGGAACUGUAUUAGAUGCUCCUGUACCUUUCACAGUGCUUUGAAUACACAUAUGAUCACUGAGUGCUUUUUCACUGUCAGUUUCUCUUUAUUUUAGUUUAGUGUAUUGAUCAUUUAGAGGUCCUCUGUAACUUACACACAUACUAAGGUAGGUCAUUAUCAUCAAGGCUUGAAACAGAACAAGAGAAAAAAAUCUUCACCCUCUUUCGCCCUUAACCACGUGGUCCCACGUGGGUCCACUUACUUAUUCUAAGUUACACUCAGCGGGGAUUGGAUCAAGAAGAGCAGAGAAAUAAAGAGAGAAAAUCAUAAAGCUCGUCCACGAGGGCUGAUCUACAAGGAUGUUCAUUUCAGUGUUAUUUAAACCAGAACAAAAAGUUAGAAACAUUCUGAUUAGAUAAGUCACAUUGUCUUAACAUAUUUAAACCUAGAGAGUGUUACAAAUGCAAGUUAUGGAACAAUAUGUACAUAUAGUGGGUCGCUAUUUUUAUUUUUUAAAAUCUAGUGGCUGAAAAAUCUAGAAGGCUAAACUUCAAAGUAUUAAUAGUGAUUAUAUCCAAAUGGCGGAAUUAUAUAUGCUUUUGUUCUCUGAGCAUGUAAGUACCUUCCAAAUUUUGUAAAAUGAUCCCAAAUAACUUUUAAGUCAGAAAAUUUUUUUUAAAAAAUUUUUAAGGAAAAAGUUGAGGAGGAGAAUCUUCCCAGAACAGGAAAGACACUUCUGACAAAAAUCACCCUUUUGCCUCGCUGCUCAGGACCUCACUGAUCCAUGCUGAAGGAUGACCUCCUACUGUCCUUAAAAAGGACAAUAACAGUGCAUGCACAUCUUGAUCUGUUUUUUCCAACUUUUGUCUCUUCAAAUACACGUAUGGUAGACGAACAGACAGGUGCCACACCCUGUCUCCCCCCUACAAAGCACUGCUGUUACAUAAGUCACACACUGCUUAGAACCCUUGUAUGUAAGUUAAACCAAACUCUGCAAAACAGGUGAAUAGACAAGUUCAGAAGGAAAGGAAGGCCCUUUACCAGCCAAGACAUUAAAAAAAAAAAAUUAACAUGUCAGUGGUGUUUAGAGGAAAAGAAACUUGUUUAAAUAGAUGGAAGAUGGACUCAGAUAGAGAACUACAUGGAGACAGCACCCCACAUCUCCAAAUGAGGGCUGCCAGGGGCACCCAGCUUUACUGGGUGAGAUAUGGAUGAAGGGGUGUUGGGGUGGAAGCCUUACCUUGGUCUGGAACGUGCAGAACAUGUGCGUUAAGAACGGAUGCUCCCAGGCCAAGGAGAGAACUCGCUUCUCUACCAUUGUACACUCCACAUCGUCGUCCAUCAAAACCACAUCUUUCUUUAAGG